rnacentral:rRNA from 1 species
GUGGUUUAAUUCGACGCAACGCGAAGAACCUUACCAGGGCNUUGACAUGCNUAUGAUUCACUCUCGGAAACNGGGAGGGCCGCNAACGGCGAAUAGCACAGAUGCUGCAUGGACYGUCGUCAGCUCGUGUCGUGAGAUGUUGGGUUAAGUCCCGCAACGAGCGCAACCCCUACUAUUAGUUGCAAAUCUAAUGGGACUGCCGGUAGAAAACCGGAGGAAGGUGGGGAUGACGUCAAGUCAGCAUGGCUCUUACGUCCUGGGCUACACACACGCUACAAUGSCUGGUACAAANGAGGAAGCAAGACCGCGAGGUGGAGCAAAUCUCAAAAAGCCAGUCUCAGUUCGGAUAGCAGGCUANGCAACUCGCCUGCUUGAAGUCGGAGUUGCUANUAACCGCGAA